CAGCCGCCGCGGUAAUACGAACCGUGCGAACGUUAUUCGGAAUUACUGGGCGUAAAGCGCGCGCAGGCGGAUCGGUCAGUCUGUCUUAAAAGUUCGGGGCUUAACCCCGUGAUGGGAUGGAAACUGCCAAUCUAGAGUAUCGGAGAGGAAAGUGGAAUUCCUAGUGUAGCGGUGAAAUGCGUAGAUAUUAGGAAGAACACCAGUGGCGAAGGCGACUUUCUGGACGAAAACUGACGCUGAGGCGCGAAAGCCAGGGGAGCGAACGGGAUUAGAUACCCGCGUAGUCCCUGUCUCUUAUACA
rnacentral:rRNA from 1 species